AUUGAACGCUGGCGGCAGGCCUAACACAUGCAAGUCGAGCGGAUGAAGGGAGCUUGCUCCUGGAUUCAGCGGCGGACGGGUGAGUAAUGCCUAGGAAUCUGCCUGGUAGUGGGGGAUAACGUCCGGAAACGGGCGCUAAUACCGCAUACGUCCUGAGGGAGAAAGGGGGGGAUCUUCGGACCUCACGCUAUCAGAUGAGCCUAGGUCGGAUUAGCUAGUUGGUGGGGUAAAGGCCUACCAAGGCGACGAUCCGUAACUGGUCUGAGAGGAUGAUCAGUCACACUGGAACUGAGACACGGUCCAGACUCCUACGGGAGGCAGCAGUGGGGAAUCUUGGACAAUGGGCGAAAGCCUGAUCCAGCCAUGCCGCGUGUGUGAAGAAGGUCUUCGGAUUGUAAAGCACUUUAAGUUGGGAGGAAGGGCAGUAAGUUAAUACCUUGCUGUUUUGACGUUACCAACAGAAUAAGCACCGGCUAACUUCGUG
rnacentral:rRNA from 1 species